rnacentral:lncRNA from 1 species
AUAUAAUUUUUUGUAAUUGAUACAUCAUGCCGCACCACUCUAAUGUUCACAAUCUCUUGAUAUGACAAAUAUAGAAAAAUAGGUGAUCUAUAGGUGAAAAAGCAAGUGCCUAAUCCCUUUAUAAUGGCCUUAAUUAUAUUUCAUCCUAAUAUCAAUAUAUAUGAAUUUAAAUUUAAACAACAAAAUAAAAGAAAAUUGCACACAUUCACAUCACAUUCCACUACCAUACCACAU